GGCCCAAAUUUGAAGUACAGUAGAUUAGUAGGGUUGGCUGAGACUACUGAUCUACUGUUCUUCAAAUUUGGGCCC
rfam:Haemonchus contortus, ISE/inbred ISE, WGS project CAVP01000000 data, contig: Hcontortus_27702